AAUGCCGGAUGAGUUAUAUAAGUGCAUGUUUAUAUAGGAAAAGUUGGGGAGACCUGACGCUGAAAGAUGGACUCGCGUCCCAUUAGCUAGUUGGUAGGGUAAUGGCCUACCAAGGCGACGAUGGGUAGCCGGCCUGAGAGGGUGGCCGGCCACACUGGGACUGAGACACGGCCCAGACUCCUACGGGAGGCAGCAGUGGGGAAUUUUGCGCAAUGCUCGUAGGAGUGACGCAGCGACGCCGCGUGAAUGACGAAGGCCUUCGGGUCGUAAAGUUCUUUCGACAGGGAAGAAAAUGCCUAUAAGUAACUGUGUAUGUAUUGACGGUACCUGUAUAAGCAGCCCCGGCUAACUCCGUGCCAGCAGCCGCGGUAAUACGGAGGGGGCGAGCGUUGUUCGGAGUGACUGGGCGUAAAGAGCACGUAGGCGGUGUUGUAAGUCAUUAGUCAAAGACUAGAGCUCAACUUUAGUAAGGCUAGUGAUACUAUAAUACUAGAGUAUCAGAGAGGAUUGCAGAAUUCCUGGUGUAGCGGUGAAAUGCGUAGAUAUCAGGAGGAAUACCGUUAGCGAAGGCGGCAAUCUGGCUGGAAACUGACGCUGAGGUGCGAAAGCGUGGGUAGCAAACAGGAUUAGAUACCCUGGUAGUCCACGCUGUAAACGAUGGAUGCUAGGUGUUGGGCUUUUAAGUUCAGUGCCGCAGC
rnacentral:rRNA from 1 species